GACGGACGAUGCGAACGUUGUUCGGAGUUACUGGGCUUAAAGGGUGCGUAGGCGGGUUGUCCAGUCUGGGGUGAAAUCCCACGGCUCAACCGUGGAGCUGCCUCAGAGACUGACGAGCUCGAGGGGGGUAGGGGCGAGCGGAAUUGUGGGUGGAGCGGUGAAAUGCGUUGAUAUCCACAGGAACUCCGGUGGCGAAGGCGGCCAGCUGGGCCCCUUCUGACGCUGAGGCACGAAAGCUAGGGGAGCAAACGGG
rnacentral:rRNA from 1 species